rnacentral:miRNA from 1 species
AUUGGGUUGGUGCAAAAGUAAUUGCAGUUUUGGCCAUUACUUUCAAUGGCAAAACCUGCAAUUACUUUUGCACCAACUUAAUAUCU